rnacentral:rRNA from 1 species
UACGGAGGGUGCAAGCGUUGUCCGGAUUUAUUGGGUUUAAAGGGUGCGUAGGCGGCCCGGUAAGGUCAGUGGUGAAAGCCUCCAGCUCAACUGGAGAACUGCCAUUGAUACUGCCGGGCUUGAGUACAGACGAGGUUGGCGGAAUUGAUUGUGUAGCGGUGAAAUGCAUAGAUACAAUCAAGAACUCCGAUUGCGUAGGCAGCUAACUAGGCUGUAACUGACGCUGAGGCACGAAAGCGUGGGGAGCGAACAGG